rnacentral:lncRNA from 1 species
GAGAAAGCUUACUCAAGAAUGUGUUUGAACUGAGAUUUCAAAGAUAACCAGAUCUCGUCUGGGUGAAUGAGUCAGUAGAAGAUAUUCAAGGUACAAGAAUGCCUCACUGGAAGUUCAGAUGUGAGAAUGAGUAUGACACUUUUGAAGAUCUGGAAAAAGACCUGUGUGGCCAGAGAAGAGAGUGAAGGGAAUGCCUUAUUUUGUUUCUUUAGCUGCCUUGAACAAGGUAGUGAUGCUGAGAGAGGCUAUAAAAAAUGUGGCUCUCCAAUCUUGGGAAGCUUAUAUAACUUAGCUCCUAGGAAGCCAAGGACAUAUUCAGCAGGAAGAAACUUGCUGGCUCGGUUAUGGUGAUUCAUGCCAACAAAUCAAAGUUUAUAGUCUAUAGAUGCAAGUCUGUUUUUUUCUCCAUGACCUGAGAAGAAUACUACCAAUGAAUCACAAAAAGUAGAGAAUGCUAAACAGCAAUAAUUCUGUUACUCUAUUGUGGCUAUUAAUGAAGAUGAUGCAUUGCCAAGACAGCUGCCUGGUUAAGACAGAAAGCAAAUUGUUGUGUCUGCUUAUCAGAAGUUUAUUUGCCACUUUGAAUAUGUGGAGCAUGAAUGUUAA